rnacentral:rRNA from 1 species
GAGGACGACGCUGGCGGCGUGCUUAACACAUGCAAGUCGAACGGACGAGUGAGAUAAGUUUACUUAACUCACAAGUUAGUGGCGGACGGGUGAGUAACACGUGGAUAAUCUACCUGCAACACCGGGAUAACGCUGUGAAAACGGUGCUAAUACCGGAUACGUUCCCUUGUGCGCAUGUAUGAGGGAAGAAAGCUCAGGCGGUUGCAGAUGAGUCCGCGGCUGAUUAGCUAGUUGGUGAGGUAAAGGCUCACCAAGGCGAUGAUCAGUAGCCGGCCUGAGAGGGUGAACGGCCACACUGGGACUGAGACACGGCCCAGACUCCUACGGGAGGCAGCAGUGGGGAAUCUUCCGCAAUGGGCGCAAGCCUGACGGAGCAACGCCGCGUGGGUGAAGAAGGCCUUCGGGUUGUAAAGCCCUGUCUUAUGGGAAGAAGUCAGUGACGGUACCAUAGGAGGAAGCCACGGCUAACUACGUG